rnacentral:rRNA from 1 species
CGUAGGGUGCAAGCGUUGUCCGGAAUUACUGGGCGUAAAGAGCUCGUAGGCGGUUUGUCGCGUCGUCUGUGAAAACUCGAGGCUCAACCUCGAGCUUGCAGGCGAUACGGGCAGACUUGAGUACUGCAGGGGAGACUGGAAUUCCUGGUGUAGCGGUGAAAUGCGCAGAUAUCAGGAGGAACACCGGUGGCGAAGGCGGGUCUCUGGGCAGUAACUGACGCUGAGGAGCGAAAGCGUGGUAGCGAACAGGAUU